UGAUGGUCUUCAUUCUUCCAGUCCGAAGCCCGACUUUUGAGAAAGGAACAAGGAAAGCGGCACGUAAAUCGCUACACCAUGGGCCCACAAGAACAUCUUCCAAACCAGGGGGAAGUCGCUAUGUAAGGUGGUCACAGUGCCAUGAAACCCCUGCUUAUCGCUGUCCUCGAGGGGGCUUGACCAGCCGGCCGACGUCAGCUCCCUGUCCUCAAAGUCCUGGCCAGCCCAUCGUCCACGGCACCUUGACCAAUUCCUAUCUGCGGGAGCCUGCCUAACCCAGCGUCAUCCACCUAGCUUAAAGAAAGAUGCCUCUAUCAGAAUUAUUUACUUGAAAAAGUUAUUGUAAAGUAACCCAGCGUCGCCCACAAAGCCCGAGGAAAUCUGUUUGUUAAAUAUUUAUUUGUGAAAAAGCUGUCAUAAAACGUCUUUCUGAA